rnacentral:rRNA from 1 species
AUACGGAGGAUCCGAGCGUUAUCCGGAUUUAUUGGGUUUAAAGGGUGCGCAGGCGGGAGAUUAAGUCGGCGGUGAAAUUUUGCAGCUCAACUGGAAAAGUGCCUUCGAAACUGGUUUCCUUUAGUGUAGAUGAAGUAGGCGGAAUUUGUGGUGUAGCGGGGAAAUGCAUAGAUAUCACGAGGAAAUCCGAUUGCGCAGGCAGCUUACUAAACUACUACUGACGCUCAGGCACGAAGGCGUGGGGAUCAAACAGGAUUAGAUACCCUGGUAGUCCACGCAGUAAACGAUGAUUACUAGCUGUUUGCGAUACAAUGUAAGCGGCUGAGCGAAAGCGUUAAGUAAUCCACCUGGGGAGUACGUUCGCAAGAAUGAAACUCAAAGGAAUUGACGGGG